rnacentral:lncRNA from 1 species
AUAAAAUAUGGGACUGUCAAGUGUGGAAGUGUGUGGCUGUCUGUUUGGGGUUCGGGGCUCGUCUAAUGAUUGCGAGGAACGUAGCUGCUACCUUGAAAAUUAUACGCUAGGGAAUCAUUAGGGGAAGCGUCAUGGUGUGCCAUAAAUAUUGCCAAUAGAGGACCCAAAGCCCAUCGAUAAUAAGGUUAGAAAGCCAUAAAACCACAAGUCGUCGAAUAUCGACCGAAGAGAAAGGCUCUCAUAAAUGUGCCAAAUUGGGUUUUCAACAAUAAAAUGCUAAUGAUUGAUUCGCAUGGCUCCAUAGAGUGCUGUUAGUAGACCCAUUCGCAUACCCAAUGGACGACAUCCAUGGAUUUCAUGGGGUUUGUCUAAUUUGUGCAUCCCCAACAUUAAAUUGGGCUUUUCGGUUUGUUUUCCGAGGCUUUUGCAUUCGUAAUUUUCUCCAAAGAAACAAGUGGGAGAUGAUUGAGUUGGAAUAUGGACUGGAAGCUACCAUAGCUGAAAUAAGGUAGAAUGGGAAUAAAAUAUUCGAAUCGUUAUAAGUAAACAAGUAAAAAUCAAGAUAAAUUAAGUUACAAAUUCGACUCUUAGAACUUAAAGUCCUGUUUUUGACAUAGUUCUCGCGUAACACAUUAACCCUUGCACUGCCAUUUGGGAUUACGAGGUAUGAGGACAGGAAAAAUCCCUGUGUUGGCCAUUUACAAUUGGUCCGCAGUGCGGAACCUAAGCUAAUGAUGACUGGCAUGCACAAAUGUACAAAUCUUAAUUAUGCAAAUCACGGUCGCGCAUAAAUUAUGCAAAUUAUAAUGAAAUUCCUCAUUGCCAGAGACAGAGCCAGAGCCAGAGCCGGGCUCGGACCCGGACCCGGACCCAAAACCCAGAGGAGGACCGGGAAAAAUGUCCAUCUAUAUGUAUAUAUUGAUAAAAGUGUGGCUAUAAAAUAAAAUAAAAAACCGAAAAUUGUACAUUUCUUUCUAUGCGACGGGGUUGAAAGUCGAAAUUAUUCUGGCGACCGAGCGGUCGAGGGGC